UACGUAGGGUGCAGGCGUUAAUCGGAAUUACUGGGCGUAAAGCGUACGCAGGCGGUUUGCUAAGACAGGUGUGAAGUCCCCGGGCUUAACCUGGGAAUUGCGCUUGUUACUGGCAAGCUAGAGUGUGGCAGAGGGGGGUAGAAUUCCAGGUGUAGCAGUGAAAUGCGUAGAUAUCUGGAGGAAUACCGAUGGCGAAGGCAGCCCCCUGGGUUAACACUGACGCCCAUGUACGAAAGCGUGGGGAGCAAACAGG
rnacentral:rRNA from 1 species